UACGUAGGGUGCAGGCGUUAAUCGGAAUUACUGGGCGUAAAGCGUGCGCAGGCGGUUGUGCAAGACAGAUGUGAAAUCCCCGGGCUCAACCUGGGAAUUGCAUUUUGUGACUGCACGGCUAGAGUGUGUCAGAGGGGGGGUAGAAUUCCACGUGUAGCAGUGAAAUGCGUAGAGAUGUGGAGGAAUACCGAUGGCGAAGGCAGCCCCCUGGGAUGACACUGACGCUCAUGCACGAAAGGCGUGGGGAGCAAACAGG
rnacentral:rRNA from 1 species